rnacentral:snRNA from 1 species
GUGUUUGCUUCCGCAGCACAUAUACUAAAGUUGGAAUGAUACAGAGAAGAUUAGCAUGGCCCCUGCUCAAGGUUGACAUGCAAAUUCGUGAAGCGUUCCAUAUUUUU